GAUGAACGCUGGCGGCGUGCCUAAUACAUGCAAGUCGAGCGAACAGAUGAGAAGCUUGCUCUUCUGACGUUAGCGGCGGACGGGUGAGUAACACGUGGAUAACCUACCUAUAAGACUGGGAUAACUUCGGGAAACCGGAGCUAAUACCGGAUAAUAUAUUGAACCGCAUGGUUCAAUAGUGAAAGACGGUUUUGCUGUCACUUAUAGAUGGAUCCGCGCUGCAUUAGCUAGUUGGUAAGGUAACGGCUUACCAAGGCAACGAUGCGUAGCCGACCUGAGAGGGUGAUCGGCCACACUGGAACUGAGACACGGUCCAGACUCCUACGGGAGGCAGCAGUAGGGAAUCUUCCGCAAUGGGCGAAAGCCUGACGGAGCAACGCCGCGUGAGUGAUGAAGGUCUUCGGAUCGUAAAACUCUGUUAUUAGGGAAGAACAAAUGUGUAAGUAACUAUGCACGUCUUGACGGUACCUAAUCAGAAAGCCACGGCUAACUACGUG
rnacentral:rRNA from 1 species